GGCUCGUUGGUCUAGGGGUGUGGUUCUCGCUUAGGGCGGGAGACCCAAGAGGUCCCGGGUUCAAAUCCCGGACGAGCCC
rnacentral:tRNA from 1 species